rnacentral:rRNA from 1 species
UACGUAGGUGGCAAGCGUUGUCCGGAUUUAUUGGGCGUAAAGGGAACGCAGGCGGUCUUUUAAGUCUGAUGUGAAAGCCCACGGCUUAACCGGGGAGGGUCAUUGGAAACUGGAGGACUUGAGUGCAGAAGAGGAGAGCAGAAUUCCACGUGUAGCGGUGAAAUGCGUAGAUAUGUGGAGGAACACCAGUGGCGAAGGCGGCUCUCUGGUCUGUAACUGACGCUGAGGCGCGAAAGCGUGGGGAGCGAACAGG